CGGCGAGUGAAGCGGGAUGAGCUCAAGCUUAAAAUCUCUGUCACAUAUUUAUUAUGUGCGGCGAAUUGUAGUCUAUAGAAGCGUGGUCAGUGUAGGCACUUGAGAUAAGUUCCUUGAAAAAGGACAGCAUGGAGGGUGAAACUCCCGUUCAUACUUGAGUAGCUUAUGCGUACGACCCGUUUUCUUUGAGUCGCGUUGUUUGAGAAUGCAGCGCAAAGUAGGUGGUAAAUUCCAUCUAAAGCUAAAUAUUGGUGCGAGACCGAUAGCGAACAAGUACCGUGAGGGAAAGAUGAAAAGAACUUUGAAAAGAGAGUUAAAGAGUACCUGAAACUGCUGAAAGGGAACCGGAUCGUUUCUAGUGUCUAUAAUCUGUGACAUAUUUCAUUGGGGAGUGUGUGCGUGUGUAUACUAUGGCAGUGGCUUUUUUGGCUGCGCUUGGUGUGCGUGCUGUAUGUGCUUACUGGUGCCCUGUGUUGCGGUGGGACGUCAAGGUCGGUUUGUAUACUGCGGGAAAUGGCUAUUGAGGAGGUAGGGCUUACGCUUGCGUUUGUCUAUUAUAUCUUGAUAGUUGUUGUGUCGUGGUUGAAACUGAGGUGUCUAAAACGUGCUUAUGAGUGGGACUGUGUCUCCGUGUGCGCCGUGUGCGGAUAGCUUGCUAUGUGUGUGUGGUAGUGUGUGGAUUGAUGCGGGCUUUAACUUGUUGCCGUUC
rnacentral:rRNA from 1 species